rnacentral:lncRNA from 1 species
AUGAAAACAGAACUUACACUUCUUCUUGCGGAGGAGGGUGGAGUAGCUCAGGGGAGAACCAAGGCCGUAGCCGUAGUUCAGGCCGUAAUAGCCACUCUGCGU